AACGCUGGCGGCAGGCCUAACACAUGCAAGUCGAGCGAAGUCUUCGGACUUAGCGGCGGACGGGUGAGUAACGCGUGGGAAUCUACCCUGAGGUUCGGAAUAACGGUUGGAAACGACCGCUAAUACCGGAUGUGCCCUAUGGGGCAAAGGCUUGCCGCCUUGGGAGGAGCCCGCGUCCGAUUAGCUUGUUGGUGGGGUAACGGCCUACCAAGGCGACGAUCGGUAGCUGGUCUGAGAGGAUGAUCAGCCACACUGGGACUGAGACACGGCCCAGACUCC
rnacentral:rRNA from 1 species